GAAAUCAUGGUGGCUGCCUAGGUAAAGAGGAUUUAGAUAUUUCAAAGAAGGAAAAAAAGAAGAUAAAUUUAUAUGGAGAAGGCAAUGGGAUACUCUAAGCUUUACUCCUCCUUGGUACAAGGAAAGUUGGCAUGACCAUCCACUUCACAUCCGCCAGUGUGCUGACACCAAGCAGAAAAUUCCAAGUAAAGAGCAGACUCCAUGUAGUCACAUGUCCCUGGAGAAAAUUGCUUCAUCAUUCUUCAGAAAGGAAAAAAAAAAGUAGAUUCCCUUCAGAAUCCUCUAGUCUUAGAAUGAAUAGGUAGAAUUUUAUGCUUAUUUAGAUCUCUUCCAUGCCUAAAUUUUGGGGCAUCUUCCCAUUUUCUAGUUCCAUAAAUAAAAGUAAAAUGUUACUAAAUGAAUACAAUUAUUUUGGUCUCAGUGAAUCAGUUGAGGCUUGACUGAACCAGCCCAAGUUUGGGGAGCUGCAUGGGACUCUAAUGUACCAUAUCAUUGCAUUUACUACCUCCUGAUGAUGUGGGGUUUAUGUGUGGGUCAAAACUUCUCUCCAGUUUUGUCUAAUUGGAAAACAGAAUAAAGAUGAUGUUUCAAUGGA
rnacentral:lncRNA from 1 species